UUUGAUUAAAGUGUUUACCAAAUCGAUCUAUCUGUAUGUUUCAACCAUCCGCCAAAAAUAUCGAAUUAUUGACCAUUUCGAUCACAUUCGUCCAGAAUUCCCGAUCCACUGAUAAAUACUUAAUUCAUUUCAAAUUAAAUUAUCUCACCAUUACAUAUUGUGGUGUAGCAGCUUCUAGAGUUUCUCUCUUAUGGAUUUGCAGUAGGAUCCACCUGGACUGACUCUUUUAUGUUUUUGCCACUACAACAACAAUUUCUUGAAUCUUUGCAGUAUCCAUUUUUGCUAUAACCAUAACGAGCGCAUAACUCACCGCAUAUUACAUUUGGGUAGGGACCCGAGCAUUCCGGUGCCACUAAGCACGCCCCUGCAAAAAGAGCUUAAAAGUGUCAGUUUUCCACGAUGAUUCUAGAUAUAUGCACUUGGGAAACAAAAUUUCCUAUAUAUACGAUGAGGAAUGAAAGCAAGGACAACAACCUUGUGUAGUUGAGAAAGGCAAUAAGGUUGUGGCCAUGACCACAAGCACCGCCAAGCAAACAACCCUUGUGUUUCUCUUGAGAAUUGCCAUGGUCGAUUAGCAACUCUUUUAUUCCUCUUUUCCACUCUUAUUGUGAGUUUUGUG
rnacentral:lncRNA from 1 species